rnacentral:rRNA from 1 species
AAAGCGUGCGCAGGCGGUUUUGUAAGACUGUCGUGAAAUCCCCGGGCUCAACCUGGGAAUGGCGAUGGUGACUGCAAGGCUAGAGUUUGGCAGAGGGGGGUAGAAUUCCACGUGUAGCAGUGAAAUGCGUAGAUAUGCGGAGGAACACCGAUGGCGAAGGCAAUCCCCUGGACCUGUACUGACGCUCAUGCGCGAAAGCGUGGGGAGCAAACAGGAUUAGAUACCCCGGU